CUUGGUUUCGUGUAAACAUAUCCAUGCAUCGAGGUUCACAUAUAGAAACAAAAUACAAGCAUUUGUGGUGAAACUAGCCAACUAAACAAUGUCCACAUAUUUGUUUUAUAAAUUUAGCCACUAUUAUGCCAAGUGCAACAACAACUUAAUACUAAAGUACAAAGCAAAAGCUGAAAAUAGAAACAGGUUUUGAUCACACUAGCUAGUUCAAGGGUUUGACUAAUAAAGACAGUAUCACCACCGUCGGAAUGAGGAAUUCUCCGGCAAUUUCCACGGCGGAAUCCGGCAACGGAGGUGGAAUUAGAUGGUUUUCCGGCAUGGUACGCGCCGGGAAGAAGGCAUACAUGGAUAAUCAGAAGCUGAGGGAGGUUGAGAAGGCUGAGAAAGUCAUGCAUCUUAUCUGUUGGGGACCCAAAUAGUUCAUUUCUUAAUUACUGACCUCAGUAAGUAGUGCUUAUGUUCGAAUCUUGAGAAUAAAGAAUGUUUUCAGAUGAAAGCGGUUUUCUCUUUAGUGAGUUUAUAUAUUAACAAUGAAAUCUGAGUUAAUCGAAUUAAUGACUUCAAUUAUCGAAUGGUUAAUUAAAAAAAAAUAUUGUGUUUAUAACUUUUUCCUUUUUCCCCCUUUUUGGGGUUUGUUUUGCCCUUUUUUCCUGUCUUAUUGUCAUCUCCUUUUUUUUUUUUUUUUUUUUCUUUAGUUUAGUAUUGCCUAUUGUUGGGACCUGUCUUAUUGUCAUCUCUUUUUUUUUUUUUUUUUUUGCUUUAGUUUAGUAUGGCCUAAUGUUGGGAAUUGGGAUCGAACUGGGUCGGUUGUUGUUACUUGUUAGUAUGGCCUAAUGGGAGUGUCGAAAUUAUUAGUAUGUAAUUUGCUCUCAAGGAGAGUUUGUAAUUAAUAUAUUAAAUGUUGUUAAAAAUAUGUUUUGGUGGGGAUGUUUCGUCUAAAUUUUCCAAAUUGAACCAAUAUGUGCUAUUAUCAGAAAUAAAAAAUGGAAAUCAAUCUAGCAUAUUAGUAGUAAAUUUAUAACUUCACUUUAGACGAUUUCGACUUGAUUUGAGUUAUUAGUUCUGUGGUUUUACAUCUUAAUUAGAUAGAAAACCUUCACCUAAAAAAACGUAAACAUAUAGUUAUGCCCGAACACCACCUCAUAGUAAACCUAAGAAAUAAUGAAUUCAGUUGAGAAAUUGAGAAGAAAAGAGGCAAGUAAAAAGGACACAAAUUUUAUGGGUCGAUAAGCAAAAGAGGUAAAGUUUGUGCACACUCUAUCCUUUCCAAACCUCACUGAUGGGGUUUUAUUAGGUUGUUGUUGUUGUUGAUAAUAUAUAUAUANNNNNNNNNNNNNNNNNNNNNNNNNNNNNNNNNNNNNNNNNNNNNNNNNNNNNNNNNNNNNNNNNNNNNNNNNNNNNNNNNNNNNNNNNNNNNNNNNNNNNNNNNNNNNNNNNNNNNNNNNNNNNNNNNNNNNNNNNNNNNNNNNNNNNNNNNNNNNNNNNNNNNNNNNNNNNNNNNNNNNNNNNNNNNNNNNNNNNNNNNNNNNNNNNNNNNNNNNNNNNAUAUAUAUAUAUAUAUAUAUAUAUAUAUAUAUACACUAAAAGGCCCUAUUUUAUUAGCUUAUAGACAAGCGAAUAGUUUGAUCUCAUGAUGAUGAAUAAGUUAGACAAACAUAAAAUGCUUAGCAUUGAUAUGGAGACAGAACAACAAAAAUCGUAAUAUCGAGAGCAUGACUUCAGAUGACAAUAAUCACGAUAUAAAUGAGAAAAAAGAUAAAAUUAUAUUUAGCUUUUAACAAAGUGCAGCAUAUGUUUGUAAGAAAAUUCGUGUCAUUUACAAUAAUACUAUUGCUCAUUAUUAUAGUUGCACCUAGAGAAAAAGGUCCUAGGAUCAAGCUGUGAAAAUUGAAGGAUCGAUGAGUAUAAGUUGAGCUGAAACUCAACUGCCAUUGCUGAAGGUCAUGGAGCUAAGAGAGGAAGCAGAACCUUCGAGAGAUUUUCAGAUAUGGGAAAAUAUUCUCAUUAAUUUGAAAACACUGACACUACUCGACUAUAUACAAGACACUACACUUGUACAACCGUCACUCUCCACUAUAACUGCCUAAACUACCACUAACAAAUAAUUUGACAGUAACUACCAUUAACAUCCUAACUAACUAGUUACAAUAAUAGCCAUAGCCACAGUUACAAAGGUGGCCACUAGUUAAAUAAUUAUAGAGCUUUGUGUCCGAAUCUUAACAACCCCUCAAGUUGGAAGGGAGGUACUCACUGCCAACUUGUGCAGUAGUGAAGAGUGUUUAAUCCCUGUCAACGACUUGCUGCGCAUGUCAUCCAGUUGGUCAUUUGUAUGAAUAUAGUGCAAAGGUAUCAGACCCUCCAUGAGUUUGUCUCUUACAAAAUGACAAUCGACCUCUAUAUAUUUAGUUCUCUCAUGAAACACUGGAUUUUUUGCCAUGUGCAAAGCUGCUUGAUUAUCACAGUAGAUUGGAAUAUGCAAGGUUAGAGGCAUUGUCAGUUCAUCUAAAAGUUUGGAUAACCAAACGAGUUCUGCAGCUACUUUUCUUGCUGACAUGUACUCUGCUUCAGCAGAACUUAAAGAUACAACUGACUGCUUCUUUGACUUCCAACUAAUUGGACUGUCCCCAAGCAACAAAAUGAUACCACUCUCAGGACAAGUAGCCCAAUCUGAGUCACAAAAUGCUCUCAACCUAUAAUCUGCAUUGUUUGACAAGAAAAUCCCCAUACUAGGAUCAUUUUUCAAAUAUCUGAGAACAUGUGUAGCAACCUUGAAAUGGGGGUCUCUGGGACUUUGCAUGUAUUGGCUGAGCCGUUGAACAUUAUAAGCAAUAUCAAGUCGAAUGUUAGUGAGGAAAUUCAACUUCCCAACCAACUUCCUAUAUUGAGUGGGGUCUGUGAGCAAAUUUCCUUCAAUUUCCUUUAGCUUUGUUGAAGGAUCAAGUGGAGAUGACAUUGGAGGACAAUGUGCACAUUUAAAUUCUUGUAUCAGGUCCUUUGUAAACUUCCUUUGCGUGAUUAAUACCACAUCAUGUUUGUAUAAUAUUUCUAAACCUAGAAAGUAGUGCAGUCUCCCCAGGUCCUUUAUCCCAAAUGUCUCAUGCAGAAAAGUUUUCAAUGCCUUAAUUUCUUCCAAAUUUUUCAUGUCAAAAGCACAUUAUUCGCAUAAAAUGCCACAAAAACCACCAAAUUGUCUAACUUCUUAUAGAAUAAGGAGUAAUAUAGCAUGGAAUGCAUUAUUCCCUGGAACAUAAGGCCUCAUCCAGUUCGGCAUAUUACUGCCUGCUUGGCUGCUUCAAUCCAUACAAUGACUUGUUUAGCUUGCAUACCAAAUUCUUGUUGUCUACUAACAGCCCUGGUGGUACUUGUAUAUAUACUUCUUCAUUCAGAUCUCCAUGUAAGAAAAUAUUAUUUACAUUAAAUUGAAAAAUAUCCCAGUUCUUCUUUAUUUCUAUGCUAAUAAAUGUUUUGACAGCAGUCAUCUUUACAACUGGUGAGAAUGUCUCAAUAUAGUCUAUUUCUGCCUGCUGAGUGUAAUCCUUGACAACUAGCCUAGCCUUAAAUCUUUUAACACUCUCAUAUGCCUUAUGCUAGAUUUUGUAUACCCAUUUGCUACCUAUUGCCCUCUUUCUUGUGGGGAUGGAACAAGAUCCCAGGUGUGGUUGGAGUAAAGUGCAUCAAAUUCCUGAUUCAUAGCCUGCUACCAGGUAGGUACGGUUGCUGCCUCUCCAUAUGAUUUAGGUUCACAAUCAGUAGAGAGAGUCUCAAGCAAAUACUGACUAUCAGUACUCAGUGCAUUGAGAGAAACAAGUUAUAAAUGGGGAACAUGUGUGUAAAAAGAGAAAGAAGGAGAACUAUGACUAUCAUCUACUACUUGUGUUUCACUAUUAGUGUUAAGAGUGGGUGCAUUGCAUAUGUAAUCUUUCAAGUAGCUAGGGAGUUUGUGGGUUCUUUGAGAUCUGUUAUGUGUUGUGGUCGCAGUUUUCUCAGGUUGUGCAGAAACUUGUGAAUCACUUUGAAAGGAUUGAUUUUGGUCUUGGGAGUGAAAGCAAGGUUCAGUAGAUGUGUUGGAGGUUCUAUUAGAAUUGAAGGAGCUUUAGUAAUAUGAUUGAGAUGGUGGUGCAGGUUCAUGAAUGUCAUUACUAGUAUCAUUGCCAAGUGGAAGUCCAAGUGACAUUAAUUGUUGAUGUGAAUCACUCUCUUUAGUACUAGGAGUACUAGGAAUAGAAUUAACACUGUCAACAUGACUCAUGCUAGGACCUAUAUAAGGGAAAGAAAGAGGUAGAUGCUCACAUUUGGAUGCCUCAGUCUACUUUCCUGGUAGAGUGAAGGGAAAGACUGAUUCAUAAAAAUUCACAUAUCUAGAAACAUGUAUUUUCCUUGUCGCUAAGCUGAGAACCUUGUAUACUUUUGACCCAAAAGGGUAUCCUACAAACAUGGGGUGAUGAUAUUGAUUCAAAAUUUUCUUUAUGUGGUUUCAGGUUUGUAGGGAAACAUAGACAGCCAAAACUCCUAAGGAGUAGUUUGGUCUCUUUUUAUAUAGGACUUCAAAAGGGAAUUUUCCACUGAGGGAUGUAGAUGGUAAUUUGUUGAUCAGGUAAGUGGAGGUUAGAAUGCAUUCUCCCCAAUACUUUAGGGGUAGUUUUGACUGAUAUAGUCGUGCUCUUGCAGUUUCUAGUAGAUAUUUAUGUUUUCUCUCCACUAUGGAUUUUG
rnacentral:lncRNA from 1 species